CUAAGAUUCUACAUUAAACUAUUCUCUG
rnacentral:tRNA from 2 species